AGAGUUUGAUCAUGGCUCAGAAUCAACGCUGGCGGCAUGCCUAACACAUGCAAGUCGAACGCGGUUACCUCGCAAGGGGUGACUGAGUGGCGAACGGGUGAGUAACACGUGGGUGACCUACCUUCGAGUGGGGGAUAACGUCCCGAAAGGGACGCUAAUACCGCAUGACAUCCUGCCUUUGAACAGGUGGAGAUCAAAGCUGGGGAUCGCAAGACCCGGCGCUUGAUGAGGGGCCCGCGUCCGAUUAGCUAGUUGGUGAGGUAAUGGCUCACCAAGGCGACGAUCGGUAUCCGGCCUGAGAGGGCGGACGGACACACUGGGACUGAGACACGGCCCAGACUCCUACGGGAGGCAGCAGUGGGGAAUUGUUCGCAAUGGGCGCAAGCCUGACGACGCAAUGCCGCGUGGAGGAUGAAGGUCUUCGGAUUGUAAACUCCUGUUGCCAGGGACGAAUGGCUCCGACCUAAUACGUCGGAGUAUGACGGUACCUGGUGAGGAAGCCCCGGCUAACUCUGUGCCAGCAGCCGCGGUAAUUC
rnacentral:rRNA from 1 species